GAAACUGGGUAUAAUACCCGAUAGGUCUCGGCUGUUGGAAUGCAUCGAGUUUUAAAGCUCCGGCGCCUGAGGAUGGGUCUGCGGCCUAUCAGGUAGUAGUGGGUGUAGCGUACCUACUAGCCUACGACGGGUACGGGUUGUGAGAGCAAGAGCCCGGAGAUGGAUUCUGAGACACGAAUCCAGGCCCUACGGGGUGCAGCAGGCGCGAAAACUUUACAAUGCUGGCAACAGCGAUAAGGGGACCUCGAGUGCCAGGUUACAAAUCUGGCUGUCGUGAUGCCUAAAAAGCAUUGCAUAGCAAGGGCCGGGCAAGACCGGUGCCAGCCGCCGCGGUAACACCGGCGGCUCGAGUGGUAACCGUUAUUAUUGGGUCUAAAGGGUCUGUAGCCGGCCGGAUAAGUCUCUUGGGAAAUCUGGCAGCUUAACUGUUGGGCUUUCAGGAGAUACUGUCUGGCUCGAGGCCGGGAGAGGUGAGAGGUACUUCAGGGGUAGGGGUGAAAUCUUGUAAUCCUUGAAGGACCACCAGUGGCGAAGGCGUCUCACCAGAACGGACCUGACGGCAAGGGACGAAAGCUAGGGGCACGAACCGGAUUAGAUACCCGGGUAGUCCUAGCCGUAAACGAUACUCGCUAGGUGUCGGCCACGGUGCGACCGUUGUCGGUGCCGUAGGGAAGCCGUGAAGCGAGCCACUUGGGAAGUACGACCGCAAGGCUGAAACUUAAAGGAAUUGGCGGGGGAGCAC
rnacentral:rRNA from 1 species